AACAGGGUAAUAUCGCUAGAGAGUUGAUAUCGUCAGCGAUGUUUGCCACCUCGAUU
rnacentral:rRNA from 1 species